AACGGCCAUACCAUGGUGAAUAUACCGGUUCUCGUUAGAUCACCGAAGUCAAGCAUCAUUGGGCGCGGUCAGUGCUUGGGUGGGUGACCACCAGGGAACACCGCGUGCCGUU
rnacentral:rRNA from 1 species